rnacentral:lncRNA from 1 species
AGCCGGGAGCAGGCACAGCCUAAGGCCCUCGUUACACCGCGGACCUGGCUUUAGCGUGCACCUGGAGUUGGGGCGCUCGGGUUGUGAGAUGGCGACGGCAGCCGAGUCCGGGGCCCGGACCUGGCCGGGCAGUGGUUCCCCACGUCUCGGCAGCCCGGCCGGCAGCCCUGUGCUGGGCAUCUCGGGCCGCGCACGCCCGGGGUCAGGGCCGGAGCGGACUGGCAGAGCUAUCGGCUCCGUAGCACCCGGCCACAGCUUUCGCAAGGUGACACUCACCAAGCCUACCUUCUGCCACCUCUGCUCGGACUUCAUCUGGGGAUUGGCCGGCUUCCUGUGCGAUGUCUGCAACUUCAUGUCCCAUGAGAAGUGCCUAAAGCAGGUGAAGACCCCGUGCACAAGCAUUGCGCCAAGCCUCGUCCGGGUGAGUG